rnacentral:rRNA from 1 species
AUUGAACGCUGGCGGCAUGCUUUACACAUGCAAGUCGAACGGUAACAGGUUAAGCUGACGAGUGGCGAACGGGUGAGUAAUGCAUCGGAACGUGCCCGGUCGUGGGGGAUAACACUUCGAAAGUAGUGCUAAUACCGCAUACGAUCUGAGGAUGAAAGCGGGGGACCGUAAGGCCUCGCGCGAUCGGAGCGGCCGAUGUCAGAUUAGGUAGUUGGUGGGGUAAAGGCCUACCAAGCCGACGAUCUGUAGCUGGUCUGAGAGGACGACCAGCCACACUGGGACUGAGACACGGCCCAGACUCCUACGGGAGGCAGCAGUGGUGAAUUUUGGACAAUGGGCGCAAGCCUGAGCCAGCAAUGCCGCGUGCAGGAAGAAGGCCUUCGGGUUGUAAACUGCUUUUGUACGGAGCGAAAAGUCUCUCUCUAAUACAGGGGGCUGAUGACGGUACCGUAAGAAUAAGCACCGGCUAACUACGUGCCAGCAGCCGCAGUAA